GCUUAGCAUGAAGUGAAGCACAUACACCUGCUGAGUUUAAGCAUAUAAGUAAGUGGUGGAAAUUAAACCAAAUGGGAUAUCUUUAGUAAUUGCGAAUGAACAAGGAUAUGCUUAGCUUGACAAAUGGAGCUAUUGGCUUUGAAUUGUAUUGUGGAAAUGUAUUACCAACAGAGGUGCAGGUGCCAGCCUAUUGAAAUAAAGCGUCAAUGGGGGUGAGAAUCCUGUUUGUCAAGUGCAGCCCUUUGUGCACGGUGUAUAUUUGCUGAGUCACACUCCUUGGCAUUGGAAUGCAAAGUGGGUGGUAAGUUUCAUGUAAAGGUAAACAUGCAAUUGAGACUGAUAGCACACAAGUACCAUGAGGGAAAUAUGAAAAGGACUUUGAAAAGAGAAUUAAAUGAGUUUGUAUUUGCUGAACACAAAGUAAACAGACUUGAUUUGCUUGGUGGGAGUGUUGCACUUGCUUGACAAGAGCUUUGGGCUGUGGGUGUAAUGAUUCUUUCUUUGCAUGCCAGUUUCUAUUUGUACAUCUGAUUACCUUUGCACAUGAAUGAUAAGUCUCCUGUGGGGGGUGGAUUGCAUGUGCAUGUAAUGAUUUGUGUUUUGAUACAUGUGUCUGGUGUAUGUGUGUGUGUUCCUGUGCUUGGGGAUGCUUCCUUCCUUGGACUUACAAGCCCUGACACACACAUGCUGGCAAAAUGCUUCUGCUUGACCCGUCUUGAAACACGGACCAAGGAGUCUAACAGAUGUGCAAAGUUUGAAGGUGGUAUACCUUUGUGUGCAAUGAAAGUGUCAGCUGGGAUAUGUGCACCAGCACCCAAUUAAUUAGCGGACAGAGGUUUGAGUUGGAGCAUAUCUAUUAGGACCCGAAAGAUGGUGAACUAUGCCUGAACAGAAUGAAUUCAGAGGAAACUCUGAUGGAGGUUCGUAUCGAUACUGACGUGCAAAUCGUUCGU
rnacentral:rRNA from 1 species